GACGAACGCUGGCGGCGUGCCUAAUACAUGCAAGUAGAACGCAGUUGCGAACGGGUGAGUAACGCGUAGGUAACUGCCUGGUAGCGGGGGAUAACUAUUGGAAACGAUAGCUAAUACCGCAUCCUACCAGAUGGACCUGCGUUGUAUUAGCUAGUUGGUGAGGUAACGGCCCACCAAGGCAACGAUACAUAGCCGACCUGGGAAGGGGAGCGGGCAAACUGGGACUGAGACACGGCCCAGGAUCCUACGGGAGGGAGCAGUAGGGAAUCUUCGGAAAUGGGGGGAAACCUGACCGAGCAACGCCGCGGGAGGGAAGAAGGUUUUCGGAUCGUAAAGCUCUAGUGUUAAGGAAGCGGUACUUAACCAGAAAGGGACGGCUAACUACGUGCCAGCAGCCGCGGUAAUAC
rnacentral:rRNA from 1 species